AUGGGUGAUGCUAAAAUAGGCAAGAAGAUAUUUAUUUGUUCAGAAGUGUGCCCAGUGCCACACUGUGGAUAAGAAAGGCAAGCAUAAGACUGGACCAAAUCCCCAUGGUCUGUCUGAGUGGAAGGCAAGUCAGGCUGCUGGAUUCUCUUAUACAGAUGCCAACAAGAACAAAGGCAUCACCUGGGGAGAGGACACCCUUCCUGAUGGAGUACUUGGAGAAUCCCAAAAAGAAUAUCCCUGGAACAAAAAUGAUCUUCGCUGAAAUUAAGACGAAGGGAGAAAGGGCAAACCUAAUAGCUUAUCUUUAAAAGGCUACUAAUGAU
rnacentral:lncRNA from 1 species